rnacentral:rRNA from 1 species
ACGGAGGGUGCAAGCGUUAAUUAGGAAUUGUGGUAAAGCGCGCGUAGGUGGUUUGAUAAGCGAGAUGUGAAAGCCCCGGGCUUAACCUGGGAACGGCAUUUCGAACUGUCAGGCUAGAGUAUGGUAGAGGAGUGUGGAAUUUCCUGUGUAGCGGUGAAAUGCGUAGAUAUAGGAAGGAACACCAGUGGCGAAGGCGGCACUCUGGACCAAUACUGACACUGAGGUGCGAAAGCGUGGGGAGCAAACAGGAUUAGA